AGGGAAUCCUCCACAAUGGACGCAAGUCUGAUGGAGCAACGCCGCGUGAGUGAAGAAGGUUUUCGGACCGUAAAGCUCUGUUGUUGGUGAAGAAGGAUAGAGGUAGUAACUGGCCUUUAUUUGACGGUAAUCAACCAGAAAGUCACGGCUAACUACGUGCCAGCAGCCGCGGUAAUACGUAGGUGGCAAGCGUUGUCCGGAUUUAUUGGGCGUAAAGCGAGCGCAGGCGGAAGAAUAAGUCUGAUGUGAAAGCCCUCGGCUUAACCGAGGAAUUGCAUCGGAAACUGUUUUUCUUGAGUGCAGAAGAGGAGAGUAGAACUCCAUGUGUAGCGGUGGAAUGCGUAGAUAUAUGGAAGAAUACCAGUGGCGAAGGCGGCUCUCUGGUCUGCAACUGACGCUGAGGCUCGAAAGCAUGGGUAGCGAACAGGAUUAGAUACCCUGGUAGUCCAUGCCGUAAACGAUGAGUGCUAAGUGUUGGGAGGCUUCCGCCUCUCAGUGCUGCAGCUAACGCAUUAAGCACUCCGCCUGGGGGAGUACGACCGCAAGGUUGAAAC
rnacentral:rRNA from 1 species